GGGACACCCACAUAUGGAUGACCAGGUACGAUUGUGGGACCACCUACCCUUGUCCCUCCCUCCGACGCUGCCUGGUGCUUACUCUUCCCGACCCUGGUGUCACGCUGCUAUCCAUUGCUGUUAUUUGUCAGCUGCCCUAGGAGGUUAGCGAUAGGGUCACUGGCCCUCAUCUCCCCCUCUGCACUGUCUGGGAUGCUGGCCUAGCAACACAAUUUGUCCUACCUGGACCGUGAUAGUUUUCUUUAUAUCUUUCCAUUUUUUACUUAACAUACAGCCGACAAACGUCUGUGUCUCUUUUUGCAUUUGUGAUACCCCGCCUACCCUCUUCACUUUUUCAUAAUGGAGCAAAGAAACAAGAAAAACACGCAGGCCCCACAAAAUCUAAGGGCCCCCCAACUCCUUCAUUGCUCACGGAUUCACCUUCCUCCCCUGCUCAUCGGAGAUGGGUGUUGACCCACAGAUCCAAGCAGUUAUGAUCAGUUUACAUGGAAGGGGUAUAGUCCGCCUUUAAGCAAGAACUUUCCACAGCUAUCGCCGAGUUCAAUUUUGAUCGCACGGCCCUUGGUAAUCGUAUGGACGCUCCUGAUUCGAAGACAGAUGACCUUUGCCGCUCUCAUCAACGUCUUGAUUCGGAGCUCUCCAGACUCCAUGAUGAGCUAGAAGACCUCAAGGAACGUCAAGAAGAUCAAGUAAUCGCUCCCGUCGCAACAAUUUGCACAUCCGCAAUGUGGUGGAAUCAAUCCUUAGCUCUGCACUACCGUCCUUCCUGAAAGACUUCUUUCAACAUGUCUUACCUGACCUUUCAGAUGCUGAUUGUCUAUGUGAUAGAGCCCACAGAGCGCUCCGAGCAAAGCCUGCCCCGACACAGCCGCCCAGGGAUGUCAUAGUUCGUAUACAUUAUUUUAGUUCGAAGGAACGUAUUCUGAUGUCAAUACGAGACUCUCCAGUGAUCGACUUCCGGGAUAUGCAAUUGCAAGUUUUUCAGGAUCUGGCCCCCCUCCACCAUUCAAAAGAGGCGGGACCUCCAGCCUGUUACUCGUAUACUACGCCAACAACAAAUACGAUAUAGAUGGGGAUUUUCCUUCAUGUUACAAGUUACAGCGAACAAUUCUACCUACUCCUUCAAAACCUUAAAUCAAGGUAAGGAUCUGUUGACUAAACUUGGUCUCCUCCCUGUACCGGGACUGCCUCUUCCUCUGGGCCACGACGCUCCCAGAUCCCUCCGCCUGAAUGGACGAGGGUAACUCGUCAUCGCAACGACACCAAUGACCCUCCUUGAUUUUGGCGAACUAUUUUUGGUUACACUUGGACAGUUCUCAACACUUUAGGAAUUUGUCUCCUGACAGGAGGAGACUCUUGCUGUCAUCUUCCAUCUUUUAAUGUCAUGGUCUAUGAUAUUGCCUGGUAAUACUACACUGGGCUUAUCUCGUUUGCCUUGUCUCCCCUUGUCCCCCUUGUUCCCCUUCCCCCCUCCUUUCUUGUUGGUAUGACACAGUACGUUUUUGUUUAUUGUUUUUCAUAUUUUGGGUUACAUUAUUUUAUCUUCGGCUCUGGCCGACUCAACUAUUGCGGUCCAGAGGGACCCGCUUCUCCUGCAUUCGUUUGCUGUUCCCACUACCCCCGUGCUCCCUUUAUUUGCUACUUCGAAGUAUGAUGUUUUAUAUUUGUGUAGCGGUCCUUGAUUGGGACCCUAUAAUUCAGGGUUUUCUCCCGUAUGGGUUCCUCUAUCACUUUCUUUUCUCCUAUAUUUCUGAUUCUUGUUUUUUGCUGUUCUUCUUCUUUCCUUUUCCUUCUUCCCCGGGACGGGUUUCCACUGCUCCUCUUUUGUUCUUUGGUAUCACAUGGCGCUUAAAUUGUUUUCUAUAAAUGUAAACGGGUUUAUUUCUCCCCAGAAAUGUACUGUGAUGUUGUCCGCCUGUCGGAGAGAGAAGGCUGAUAUAGUUUUCCUCCAAGAGACCCACUUCGCCGGUACACACUCUCAACUUCAUGGUUGUAUAUUUUGACUACAAAAAGAGAGGCGGCCCCACAGUACGUGAAAGACCUAAUAUUCAUUACAUACCAAAGGUUUGUUAAAACAGAGUUGCUAAAAUUAGACUCAAGAAGAACACACCUGACAAAUAGGUGGUAACCAACGGAUGACGUAAUUCUCUGCUUUGGGGCAUCGCUGCGUUCCCAGUACUACUUUCAAUGCCAACAUUUCUGAAAACAUUAUUGAAUCAACUCCCCAGGAGAUGUUUAUCGUGAAGGUUCCAUAGAUUCUUCUGAGCUAAUGCUGGUAGAUCGCAGUACUCCAAGAGGAGCUUUAUUCACUCAGAUGGAAUUAAGACAUGCCCUUGGGGCACUAGUGAAAAGACAUUGCUCCAAUACACCGACUCUCUCAAACAGAGAACCGCUUUACAGGAGGAGAUCAUAUUAAUACUAUAGGGAAGGAAGGUUUAGGACCUAUACAUUCUGGUCUGGGAAAAAAAGUUAGAAGAGUGGACCUGUCACAGUGGAGGCAUCUAUACACCCUAUCAAAUCGGCUUCCAUGACAUGACGGAGACAUUGUCUGACUAAUAUUAAUGAGGCCCGACUAAUAUUCAUGAUGUACUGGUCCCUAGUGAAUUUCACCAUUGUCUAGUGACUAGAUCGGCUGCACACUCACGAAUACUAGUUUAGACCACAAUAUGGCUUCCUCCACUGUGUGCAAUAUACUUUAAAUGUCACAUAGGAAUAAGGAUCAUUAGAACGAUGGAAAUAGGUCGUCCCAUUUUUUACUCCUGUGCAACGCACUGUGCACUGUCUCCAUCCCUUUGUUCUGUGCAUACAUGCUCGGCAUUAAGACCUAGAGUCUGCAGGGAGGUGUGAACUCCAACCUGAUGUGCUACUGCUCAUGUGCAUACUGCUUCCAUCUUUACAGUGUAAGAGUGUAACAGUACUGCACAUGUAGCUCUUGAGGAGAGACACCUAUAAACUGCAAUACCCUGUGUUUGAUACUACUGCUGUUAAUCCCUGCAUUACCACUAUGUUCAGACAUUUUCCUGGACCAAUCUUGGUAUGGACUCUCUGUGUAGCCUAACAGUCACUUUAACAUCCGCUGUGCCCCUAUUGUGAUCACCAUGCCAAUAGGCUAUAUAUCAACAUGGUGUACAUGGCAGAACUGAGCUUAUGAAAUGUAAGAGACACACUUAGCAGUGACUAAAUAGGAAAUAUUUUGGAUUUGGAAAAUUAAUUAGGAUAAAGUAGUCAGAAUAUUAGAAAGAGCUUCAGAAGUCAGCCGAAAAUGUUAUUUCUGAAGAAAAUCCAAACUAGCGAGUGAUUCCUUACUCAACGUUUUCCAAACAGACACUGUCCACAUCCGAAGUUACAUGUAUGUAAUAGACACAAACUUACAGAAACAAAAAACAAAUAGGAGUAGUACAAGAUAGAAUAAAUAUAAGUGUUGAAACGUCCAAAACAUACUAAAUAAAGCAAUGGGAAAUGCUUUUGGGCACCCACUGCCAAGUUACAAAUUAUUUUCUGUAUGCCACACACAUUGUAUUCUAAACUCCCAACACAAGUUGCUACAUUUCAUUUUCAUAUCUGGAAUGUGUAUGAUUUAGCAUAGAAUAAACAAGGAGACAUGGUGUGAUGAUUCCCACAAUGGGGUAGCUAACCUGGAGGGUUAUAUUCUUUUCAGGAGAGACAGGCCUAUUAAAGAGGGGGUGGUGUAUGUCUUUAUGUUAAACCAUUUCUAAAACCAUACUUAAAAGGAGGGAAUUUAUGAGGGAACUGGAGAUAUUGUGGAGACAUUAUGGGUUGAAAUUUCUAUGGGAAAGAAAAGUACAAAAAAACUUUUAAUAGGGACAUGAUAUUAGUGUGACUGAGGAAGCGCAACUCUUGAUGCAAAUCGAGAAAGCUACAGGGCUGGGGGAGGUCCUAAUCAUUGGGGUCUUUAAUUAUCCGGACAUAAAUUGGGCCAGCGAAUCAUGUAAUACAGCUAGGGGUAAAAGGUUCUAAAAUAUGCUAAAGGAUAACUACUUGUCACAAAUAGUCGAGGAACCAACCAGAGUUGGGACUAUACUGGACCUGGUACUAACUAACAUGGAGAUAAUAGCGAAUACCGCAGUAGGCGAAAUCUUGGGUAACAGUGAUCAUAAUAUGAUCACAUUCAACAUUAGCAUUCAAAAGCAGCAAUCUAAGGGUACAACUAAGACUCUUAACUUUAAAAAAUCAAUUUUUAACAUGCUUAAAUACGCACUAAAGGACAUAGAUUGGGGAACUUUGUGUCAGGAGAAGAACACUGCCGAAAUGUGGGAUGUUUUUAAAACGAUGCUAGACAAAUAUACCCAUAAGUGCAUACCCUUGGGCAGUAAAAAUAAGAGUAUUAAAUUCAAAGCAAUGUGGUUAAACAAAAAAGUAAAGGAAGAAAUGGUUAAAAGAGGAGAGCAUUCAAAGCUUUCAAAUCAGACGGGAAGGUGGAGUCAUUCCAGUACUACAAGGAAUGUAACAAAAACAUGCAAAAAGGAAAUCAGAGCAGCUAAAAUAGAAAAUGAAAAGCAAACCUCUAAGGAGAGUAAAACUAACCCUAAAAAAUGCUUUAAGCACAUAAAUGGUAAGAGGCUAAAAAAAAAAAAAAGAGAGAAUAUAGGACCAUUAAAAAGCGAACUGGGAUUACUGAUAAAUGACAACAAAGAAUAAGCUGAAAUAUUGAACACAUUUUUCUCAGUGUUUACUAGAGAGUACCAGAUUGUGGGAUCAGUGAGUAACAAUAACAAUAGUAUUGAUAAAGGCCCAUUGCUAAUACUUAUCUGUCUGAGGAAGUAGUCCGUAAACGAUGAAAAAAAAAAAUCAACACUAAUAAAUCUCCUGGUCCAGAUGGUCUACAUCCUAGGGUUCUGAAAUAGCAAGGCCACUGUAUCUGAUUUUCACUAACUCACUUCAAAUCAGGCAUGGUACCAAAGGACUGACGUAUAGCAGAUAUAGUCCCAAUAUUUAAAAAGGGUAUUAAACGUCAUCCUGGUAACUAUAGACCGGUUAGUCUGACAUCAAUAGUGGGGAAUCUAUUGGAAAGUAUACUAUGGUACAGCAUACAGGAUUACUUGGAGAACUCCCAUGCUAUUAAUAAGAACUAGCAUGGUUUUGUGAGAAAUAGGUCAUGCCAAACUAAUUUGAUUAGCUUCUAUAAGAUAGUAUGCAACAAUCUCGACCAGGGUAAUGCAGAUGACGUGGUUUAUCUAGAUUUUGCAAAAACUUUCAACACAGUACCUCACAGGAGGCUGACUUUCAAAUUAAGGGAGCUCGGUAUAGGAGACACUAUUUGUACAUGGGUGAGUAAUUGGCUUGAUAACAGGGAACAGCGAGUGGUGAUUAAUGGGAUUUAUUCUACCUGGUCUAAAGUAAUUAGUGGAAUACCGCAGGGUUCUGUGCUGGGGCCACUAUUGUUUAAUAUAUUUAUUAAUGAUUUAGAAGAAGGACUAGAAAGCACAUUGUCAAUUUUUGCAGAUGAUACUAAAAUAUGUAGGGUAAUCAAGUCAGAUGUGGAGUCUCUUCAGAGUGAUUUAUUUAAACUGGAAGUUUGGGCAAUGAAAUGGCGUAUGAGGUUUCAUGUGGAAAAAUGUAAAGUUAUGCACUUUGGGACUAAGAAUAAACAUGCAAGCUACCAAUUAAAUGGGGGAAAAAUAGGGGAAACUAUUAGAAAAGUAUUUGGGGGUGCUCAUUUGAUAGUAGAUUUAGCAGCAACACACAAUGUCAAAAUGCAGCAACAAAGGCAAAUAAGAUGUUAACAUGCAUUAAAAAGGAGAAUUGAGACAAGGGAUGAGAGCGUAAUCCUGCCACUGUAGAAAUCAUUGGUACGGCCACGUCUUGAGUAUUGUGUACAGUUCUGGGCACCACAGUAUAAGAGAGAAAUUAGAACUUGAAAAGGUUCAGAGGCGAGCUACCAAAUUGAUUAAGGGGUUGGAGACACUGGACUAUGAGGAGAGGCUUUCUAGGUUAGAUAUGUUUACACUAGAAAUGAGACGACUAAGAGGAAAUAUGAUUAAUCUUUACAAAUAUAUAAAGGGGCACAAUGCUGAGCUAUCAUGUGAGUUAUUUACUAAGAGACCUCUACACAAACCGCGCGGACACUCGUUAAGGCUUGAGGAGAAGAAAUUUCGUACUCCGCGCAGGAAGGGAUUCUUCACUGUAAGGGCAAUAUGAAUAUGGAAUACACUGCCAGAGAAGGUUGUAAUGGCGGACUCAAUGAGUUUAAAAAUGGGUUAGACAAAUUUCUAACGGGAAAAGCUAUACGAGGAUAUAGCCUUUAAUCUAAAUAGAUUAGGGAAUACAAUAUAAUUCUGGUGGAACUCUAUGGACUAUCAUCUUUUUUCAACCUCACCGACAAUGUUACUAUGUAAGAAUAUUCAAGAGGAACUAAAGCCACUUCUCACCUUUCUC